rnacentral:rRNA from 1 species
UACGUAGGGUGCGAGCGUUAAUCGGAAUUACUGGGCGUAAAGCGUAUGCAGGCGGAUCAUUAAGUCGGGGGUGAAAUCCCGAGGCUCAACCUCGGAACUGCCUUCGAUACUGAUGAUCUUGAGUCCGGGAGAGGUGAGUGGAACUGCGAGUGUAGAGGUGAAAUUCGUAGAUAUUCGCAAGAACACCAGUGGCGAAGGCGGCUCACUGGCCCGGUACUGACGCUGAGAUACGAAAGCGUGGGGAGCAAACAGG